UAGGGAAUCUUCGGCAAUGGACGAAAGUCUGACCGAGCAACGCCGCGUGAGUGAAGAAGGUUUUCGGAUCGUAAAACUCUGUUGUUAGAGAAGAACAAGGACGUUAGUAACUGAACGUCCCCUGACGGUAUCUAACCAGAAAGCCACGGCUAACUACGUGCCAGCAGCCGCGGUAAUACGUAGGUGGCAAGCGUUGUCCGGAUUUAUUGGGCGUAAAGCGAGCGCAGGCGGUUUCUUAAGUCUGAUGUGAAAGCCCCCGGCUCAACCGGGGGGGGUCAUUGGAAACUGGGAGACGUGAGUGCAGAAGAGGAGGGUGGAAUUCCAUGUGUAGCGGUGAAAUGCGUAGAUAUAUGGAGGAACACCAGUGGCGAAGGCGGCUCUCUGGUCUGUAACUGACGCUGAGGCUCGAAAGCGUGGGGAGCAAACAGG
rnacentral:rRNA from 1 species